GCAAUAGUAAACUAAUUAAAGUUUGUAGGAUUCAUAAUUCUGAUUAUGCGUGAGAGCGCCUAUUGAA
rnacentral:tRNA from 1 species